AAGACAGUCAAAGUGGAGCCAGAAGGCCAAGCUUAGCUUCACGGUGCCUGAUGUCCUGUAAAAGGGGACACCAUGUGGAAAAGCCGAGAGAGUUCCAGGAGUAGGGUUCAAGACAUUCUGCUUUCUGCUGGUGACAAGAUCCACAGGUGGUUUGCAGGACUGGAGUAAGCCUGGAGAAGCCUCACGGACCCUCCACAUCUAAUACUAGUUUGAGGCCAAGCUCCCCAUCUCCCUCUCCAGCACACUCUUCUCUGUACACAGGGCUCUUUGGUGUCUCCCAGUCCUGAUGUAUCCAGUCUCACCCCGUAAGUUCAUUGGAAGGAAGAGUGAAGAGAGAACCAAGGGAGCAGAGACUCAAGAAAGAGAACAGAGCCUCAUACGUCACACUCCCAGGGAGUAUAAGGAGUGUGUGGCCAACUCCUCCACCCGUAGCUGGGAAAGUUGGAAUGAUUCUAACCUCUUUGUGUGAUAACUCCUCAAAUUCUAGCACGGGGAUAAUAGAGGCUUGUUGUGAGAAUUAGAUAAAAUAAUGUAUAAAAGCUGUUGGAAUAUUUUACUGGCU
rnacentral:lncRNA from 10 species